rnacentral:rRNA from 1 species
AAAAGUGAAAUUGAUUAUUUUUUCUAAAAAUUUAGAGUGAAGCCAAAAGAAAUUGGAUUUAAACUAGGAUUAGAUACCCUAUUAUACCAGUAUUUAAUAUAAAUUGUUUGAUUAGUAAUAGAUAUAGGCUAAAAAAUUAAAGAAUUUGGCGGUAACUAAGUCUUGUCAGAGGAACUUGUUUGUUAAAUUGAUACACCGCAAAAGAUCUUUCUUAAGUUUGUAUACCAUCAUUGGAAAAUAAUUUUUAAAAAAAAAAUUAUUAAUUUUAAAUUUAUAUUUAAAAAAAUUAGAUCAAGGUGCAGCAAAUAAGUAAGGUUAAAUGAGUUACAAUAAAUUUUAUUUAUUACGAAUAUAAUGUUAUAGAAGGAGGAUUUGACUGUAAUAAAAAAUUUAAUAAGGGUUUAUGAUAUAAGCGCUAAGUUAUGUACAUAUUGCCCGUCGCUUUC